rnacentral:misc_RNA from 1 species
AAUUCUCAACUUCAAGAAGGUUUUUUCUUCUUGAGGUUUGGAUGUGGGGCUUGCUGGCUUUUUCCAAGUCUAGCUUCUCUGAAAAACAUCAGUUGGAGACUAUUAGAUCUCUUCUCAUGGUGUGAUAGUUAUCUACGCCAAAUGUGAAUAUCUUUUUGAGUCUUCUACUUCUAAUAGUCCAUUUAGCUUGGACAAUUUUAUGACCA